UGGGGAAUAUUGCACAAUGGGGGCAACCCUGAUGCAGCCAUGCCGCGUGUGUGAAGAAGGCCUUCGGGUUGUAAAGCACUUUCAGGUGUGAGGAAAGCAAUACUGCUAAUACCAGUAUUGUGUGACGUUAACACCAGAAGAAGCACCGGCUAACUCCGUGCCAGCAGCCGCGGUAAUACGGAGGGUGCGAGCGUUAAUCGGAAUUACUGGGCGUAAAGCGCACGCAGGCGGUUUGUUAAGCUAGAUGUGAAAGCCCCGGGCUCAACCUGGGAUGGUCAUUUAGAACUGGCAGACUAGAGUCUUGGAGAGGGGAGUGGAAUUCCACGUGUAGCGGUGAAAUGCGUAGAUAUGUGGAGGAACAUCAGUGGCGAAGGCGACUCCCUGGCCAAAGACUGACGCUCAUGUGCGAAAGUGUGGGUAGCGAACAGGAUUAGAUACCCCCGUAGUCC
rnacentral:rRNA from 1 species